rnacentral:rRNA from 2 species
UGGGGAAUAUUGCACAAUGGGGGAAACCCUGAUGCAGCGACGCCGCGUGAACGAAGAAGGUAUUCGUAUCGUAAAGUUCUGUCCUAUGGGAAGAUAAUGACAGUACCAUAGAAGAAAGCUCCGGCUAAAUACGUGCCAGCAGCCGCGGUAAUACGUAUGGAGCGAGCGUUGUCCGGAAUUAUUGGGCGUAAAGGGUACGCAGGCGGUUUAAUAAGUCGAAUGUUAAAGAUCGGGGCUCAACCCCGUAAAGCAUUGGAAACUGAUAAACUUGAGUAGUGGAGAGGAAAGUGGAAUUCCUAGUGUAGUGGUGAAAUACGUAGAUAUUAAGAGGAAUACCAGUAGCGAAGGCGACUUUCUGGACACAAACUGACGCUGAGGUACGAAAGCGUGGGGAGCAAACAGG